CCUUCAGCACUUUCUGGAUGAAGGUUGUGGCAAAAAUCUCAAGUCCAACCUGGUGGCUACAGUCAUGACCACAGUGGGAUAGAAUAUGCCUUAAAGGACACAGGAUAUAAUCCUACCAUGAAGAAAAAAAUAUAGAAACAGGUGCUGGAAGUAUCAUAAUUAUUCUUUCCUUCUGACUUGCCUCACGUAAAUGUUCAUGAUACAGCCAUGGAUACAGCCAUGUAUGGUUGCAAUGUGUUGAUCAAAACAAGUUCUUAUUGCUUUAUAAUAUACCCAACCGCACAGGA
rnacentral:lncRNA from 1 species